AUGCAGUCGACGGUGAAGAGGAGCUUGCUCCUUGGAUCAGUGGCGAACGGGUGAGUAACACGUGAGCAAUCUGCCCUUGACUCUGGGAUAACUGCGGGAAACUGUAGCUAAUACCGGAUAUUACCUUGGAAGGCAUCUUCUGGGGUGGAAAGAAUUUUGGUCAAGGAUGAGCUCGCGGCCUAUCAGCUAGUUGGUGAGGUAAUGGCUCACCAAGGCGACGACGGGUAGCCGGCCUGAGAGGGUGACCGGCCACACUGGGACUGAGACACGGCCCAGACUCCUACGGGAGGCAGCAGUGGGGAAUAUUGCACAAUGGGCGCAAGCCUGAUGCAGCAACGCCGCGUGAGGGACGACGGCCUUCGGGUUGUAAACCUCUUUUAGUAGGGAAGAAGCGACUGGGUUUUCCUGGGAGUGACGGUACCUGCAGAAAAAGCACCGGCUAACUACGUGCCAGCAGCCGCGGUAAUACGUAGGGUGCAAGCGUUGUCCGGAAUUAUUGGGCGUAAAGAGCUCGUAGGCGGUUUGUCGCGUCUGCUGUGAAAACCCGAGGCUCAACCUCGGGCCUGCAGUGGGUACGGGCAGACUAGAGUGCGGUAGGGGAGAUUGGAAUUCCUGGUGUAGCGGUGGAAUGCGCAGAUAUCAGGAGGAACACCAAUGGCGAAGGCAGAUCUCUGGGCCGUAACUGACGCUGAGGAGCGAAAGCAUGGGGAGCGAACAGGAUUAGAUACCCUGG
rnacentral:rRNA from 1 species